CUGUGUUGGAGUAGAAGAACAUCAUGCUGUUGACAUUGACCUAUAUCACUGUCCCAACUGUGCAGUUCUACAUGGUUCCUCCUUGAUGAAAAAGAGGAGGAACUGGCACAGGCACGACUACACAGAAAUUGAUGAUGGUUCCAAACCAGUGCAGGCUGGAACUAGAACUUUUGUGAAGGAAUUACGUUCUCGAGUCUUCCCAAGUGCCGAUGAAAUCAUUGUAAAGAUGCAUGGCAGCCAGCUGACACAAAGAUACCUGGAGAAACAUGGGUUUGAAGUCCCUAUUAUGGUCCCCAAAUUAGAUGAUCUAGGACUCAGGCUCCCUCCACCUACUUUUUCUGUUAUGGACGUGGAACGUUAUGUAGGUGGUGACAAAGUGAUAGAUGUCAUUGAUGUGGCAAGGCAGGCAGACAGCAAAAUGACACUUCACAAUUAUGUUAAAUACUUCAUGAAUCCUAACAGACCAAAAGUGUUAAAUGUGAUCAGCCUUGAAUUUUCAGAUACAAAGAUGUCUGAAUUGGUGGAGGUUCCUGAUAUAGCCAGAAAACUUUCCUGGGUGGAAAAUUAUUGGCCUGAUGAUUCAGUCUUUCCCAAGCCAUUUGUUCAGAAAUACUGCUUAAUGGGAGUUCAAGACAGCUACACAGAUUUCCACAUUGACUUUGGUGGGACUUCAGUUUGGUACCAUGUCCUCUGGGGCGAGAAGGUUUUUUAUUUGAUAAAGCCAACAGAUGACAAUUUGGCACUCUAUGAAUCUUGGAGUUCAUCUGUGACCCAGAGUGAAGUGUUCUUUGGAGAUAAGGUGGAUAAAUGCUACAAAUGUGUGGUAAAGCAGGGACAUACCUUAUUUGUUCCUACAGGGUGGAUUCAUGCUGUGCUUACUUCUCAGGACUGUAUGGCUUUUGGGGGGAACUUUCUGCACAACCUUAACAUUGGCAUGCAGCUCAGGUGUUAUGAGAUGGAAAAAAGGCUAAAAACACCAGAUCUUUUCAAAUUCCCUUUCUUUGAAGCCAUAUGUUGGUUUGUAGCCAAAAACUUGCUGGAGACCCUAAAAGAACUGAGAGAAGAUGGUUUCCAGCCUCAGACUUACCUAGUACAGGGAGUGAAAGCGCUGCAUACUGCUUUAAAAUUAUGGAUGAAAAAAGAACUUGUAUCUGAACAUGCCUUUGAAAUUCCAGACAAUGUUAGACCUGGACAUCUUAUUAAAGAACUUUCUAAAGUGAUUCGAGCAAUAGAGGAGGAAAACGGCAAACCAGUUAAAUCUCAGGGAAUUCCUACUGUAUGUCCAGUUUCACGAUCCUCAAAUGAAGCAGCUUCCCCAUACCAUUCCCGACGAAGGAUGCGGAAACUUCGAGAUCAUAAUGUCCGAACUCCUUCUAACCUAGACAUCCUGGAGCUCCACACGAGGGAGGUGCUCAGAAGACUGGAGAUGUGUCCCUGGGAAGAGGACAUUUUGAGCUCUAAACUGAAUGGAAAAUUCAACAAACAUCUCCAGCCAUCUUCCACCGUACCUGAAUGGAGAGCGAAAGAUAAUGAUCUCCGGUUACUGCUGACAAAUGGAAGGAUAAUUAAGGAUGAGAGACAACCCUUUACAGAUCAGAGUCUUUAUACAGCAGACAGUGAAAAUGAAGAGGAUAAGAGAAGGACAAAAAAGGCAAAAGUGAAGAUGGAAGAGAGCUCAGGAAUAGAGGGGGUGGAGAAUGAAGCGUCUCAGAAACCACUUAACAGGUUUUUAACAAGUGUGAAAUCAGAACUCAGGAAUCGAUCAUCAGAAUAUUCUGAUAUUUCUGAUUCAGAAGACUCUGGACCUGAUUGCACCGCACUGAAAAAUAAUUUUACCACUGAAGAGUCUGAAAGUUCAGGUGAUGAAAAGAAACAAGAAAUUACAUCAAACUUUAAGGAAGAAUCUAAUUUGAUGAGGAGCUUCCUUCAAAAGAGCCAGAAGCCGUCUAGGAGCGAAAUUCCAGUUAAAAGGGAGUGUCCUACCUCGACGAGCACAGAGGAAGAAGCUAUUCAGGGCAUGCUGUCUAUGGCAGGGUUGCACUAUUCCACGUGUUUACAAAGGCAGAUACAAAGCACAGACUGCGGUGGUGAAAGACACUCUCUCCAGGAUCCCAGCAGCUGCCGCAGCAGUAACCAUGAGGUUAGGCAGCUGUAUCGCUGUGAUAAGCCAGUGGAAAGUGGGUAUCACGUCAAGACUGAAGAUCAAGACUUGAGGAGUUCUUCCUGGAUUAAACAAUUUGAUACAACUUCCAGAUUUAAUUGUCAGGAUCUAAGUAGAGGCCAGAAAUGCAUCAGAAAGGAAGUUUCAUCAGAAAUCAGUCAGAAGGUACAAAGUAGGAAUUCUGUGGACAGCAGUGGCUCAAGCCCUCAGAAUGGAAAGUAUAUGCAGAGUUCAAGCUUGAUGUCAGGGGCAUGCCAGAUAAGUAAUGGCAGUGCAAGCCCAGAAAGGCCUGUUGGUGAAACUUCCUUUUCAGUGCCCCUUCACCCCACCAAGAGACCUGCAUCAAAUCCACCACCUAUCAGCAACCAGGCAACAAAAGGUAAACGUCCAAAAAAAGGAAUGGCAACAGCCAAACAACGUCUCGGGAAGAUCCUUAAAUUGAACAGAAAUGGCCACGCACGUUUCUUUGUGUGACGGAGCUGCGGUUGUGGUCACUCUUCCUUUCGGAGACCGGUCUCGGGGUACGGGAGCCUGGAGCUUCCGCGCGCCCCCGCUGAAGCAGUUUGCAUGACCUCACCUUCUAGUGAAGUUCGGGCUGUACACAAGGGACACGUGACACAUGAACCGAGCAUGAAUUCCCACGGUUGCGGUCCCCAGGGUCUGCACAGAGGCCGUGCCUGUGCACCCUCCGCGGGCCUGCGCAGCCCCUGCGGGAUGCAAGGAUACGGGGAUGUGCUGAUGCCUCCCGCGCUGCCCCUUGGCCCUGGUGAGUGGCUCGGCCCAGGUGAGGAAGGAGAAAGAGAAAAACGGUUCUGGGUUCUGCCGGCGCGAACGCCUUCCGGACCCUGGCUCCUCUCUCACCCCCACUCCCAUCCACGUCUGUCUCCUCAUCUUCAUUCGCUUUCGGGCUCCCCCAUCUCCCCUUCCUUGCCGGGCUCUUCCCACCCUCGGUCCCAGAAAUACUCUUUAGGCUUUUUGAAGGGCUAAUUCUGAAGUUUCGUAGAUUCCCAUUCCUUCCAUGCCAGAGCUGGAGAACAAUAAAGGGCCUAAAAAUAGACAGUAAUAUGUGUAAAUUUCCUAAGUUUUUCUAAGGCAAAUAUAACCUGGGACAAAAGAUUCACAAGAAUAGUAAGAAAUAGUAUUUGACCUUUCCCUACGCAUUUAUUCUAGAAGCUUCCAUACCUAGGGAACUUGAGAUACAUUUCAGGUUCUGGAAUAAUGCACACCAAGUUAGUGGUGGCCGGUGACCUCUGGGGACUGGGAAUAGGGAUGGGGAGAUCACUGAGGCUGGGAACUUGCACACACUUUGGUUUAAUGAUUUUUGUUUUCUAAUUCAAAUAAAGUAUCAAAUCUAUAAUUAAAAAAGACAAAUGUGUUCUACCACAGGGUAUGGAUUGGCUGCCCUAAGGAGGCUAAUUGUACCAUGGUACACAUUCACACCCAUCAGAAGUCAGGCCCUGCUGCUCCCUGGGGUUCUGCACUGGUGACCUAGCAGGGCUGGGCUGGGUCAGGAUGCUGCACGGGACACAGCAGGUCACCAGGGGGGAAACCCUCCCUCCUCCCCAGCUCUCAGCCUUGUCCGUGCUCCCAUCGCUGUGCUUCUCACUCAGCAGUGUCCCUUGUUUUGUCUGAACAACCAGCCUGCGUUUAGGCCUAGGACUACAUGUAUUACUCUCCUGUCAUCAGCACCUCCCCAGAGUUUGGCAUAAAUCUCACUAAAAAUACAUUGAAUAGACACAUGAACAAACACAGAUAGUCCUCAUUUUCAUGAUUCCCUCCCCCAAUCCCUCCCUCCCUUAGAACCUGAAACAAAACUUUAUGGUAAUGCUUUGCAAACUUUACUGUAUAUAGGUGUGACUUGAUUUGAAAAUACAGAUUAUACUAAUGGUUAUUGUGUAGAACUACAAAACAGAUUAAUUAGGUUAAGAAAGGAUUUUUUUUUUUUUUUCCUACCAAGAGGAAAGGAAAACGUGCUUCCUGAAGGAGUUACUGGAUUCCACGGAGCAGUAUUUUCAGAGCUUUGAGGCAGGACCCUUCAUGGGUGCUGCUUGCUGUGCUUUAACUCCUGGGCAGGGUGAUGAUAAGGGAAGGGAUUGCUGUGUACUCCCCUCCUACCCAGAGACCGGCUCUGUGUAAGGCAGGGUAUUGGGAGGGCAGUGUUGUCAAGCCACACAACAACAAAGUCCUGUUAUACGGUUGCUCAGACAAUGAGACUCCCACUUCCCCAUGAUACACACUAAAGAGGGGUCAUGCAGUGACUGUUCCCAGAACAACUGAGGUUUGCCCACGGUGACUGCUACUUCCCACAAACAGUAGAAGGACCUUUCAAAACAGGCUCAGUCCCUAUAAAAGGAUUUAAUUGCCUCAUAAGCAAGUCUCUACUAUGUUUCAAGUCACCACUCACCAUCUUCUAUCCUCCCAACUCUUUUACCUUCUGUGUCUUCACUGUCAUUUGUGUAAUUUGUAUUAUUGUCUUUAUUUAUUUAUUGUCUUUAUCACGUGUCAUGUAUUCCCCCAGGUUUUCAUUCCUGCAAUGGUUUUUUUGGUCUAACUUGGAUGUCCAACCCCUGAUCUUUCCCACUAUCUCUUACACUCCCUUCACCUUCGCUCUCCUUCCAACCCAGAUUGGUUUCCAUGAUCUAUUAAGACAGUUUCCCCUUUGCAAAGGCCCUCUACAACUUGUCCUGAUCUCCCUCCAAGUUGUUCUCAAAAGGUAAAACCCCAAUCCAAGUUGAACCCAACUUCCCUGCAACUCAGAAGCAACUAAUCUCUGCUGGAAAAAAAACCAAUCGCAUAACCAGGUUGACUGGUUUAAGUUUAAAUUUAUGAUCCUCAGACUUACAUGGGACUUAAUAUUGUCUAGCACGCCUGUGUUUUUGUGGGAAACUUGCUCUUCCAUUCUCUGAAACAAGCUACGAUCCCGGGCUGACAUCUUCUCCCUCCCUGGUCUCCACUCUAGCCCCACUUGCAGCUGAGAAUCCUUCUUCACAUCUCACUUGGAAAAUAGAAGCCUGAAUUAGUUUCCCGGGCUGCAAGAACGAAUUACCACAAACUGGGCUUAACACAACAGAAAUCUAUUCUCUCACAGUUCUGGAGGCUAGAAUCUGAAAUCAAGAUGUCGGCUGGGCUGUGCUUCCUCUGAAGGCUCCAAAGAAUCCUUCCUUGCCUCUUCCUAGCUUCUAGUGACUGGUGGCAGUCCUUAGCCUUCCUGGAUUUGUAGGCAUCAUUACAAUCUAUGCCUCCAUUGCUAUAUUGUAAGCAGAUAAGGUAGGGGAUCCCUGGAGAAAGA